rnacentral:lncRNA from 1 species
UUUUCCUUGACAACAUUGAGAUGCAAACAUGCCCCUCUCAUUUCUAUUUACUCUGCAUAUUAUAUAUGUCUCAAGAACAAUUUUUUAAAUCAUGUCUAAGUUUAUACAAAACAACCAUCAGAAUAAUCGUGAAUAUAUUUCCACAUCAUAUAUAUUUGUUAUUCUGAAAGUUUAUAUUGUCUUCGAACAUUUAAUUUAUGAACUUUGAAUUAGAUCAGAGCUAAUAUGUAGAGUAAAUAAAAACAGAGGAAGUACUUUGAACUAAUUAUGGCGUGUUUGGUUCACGUUGUCACUUGCAUGAGGUGUCGCAUAUCAACUCGGCGUGUCCCUGCUCAGCCUGGUCAAGUCAAUGAAAGAAUCAAACUUUGGCCGAACCUUAUAAAUUAGACCCACAAAUGCAUUCUCAAAUCUUAACUCCUUAAAUUUGAGGAGUUGAAAACAUGUGGUUUCUAGCCAAACUAUUAUAGUUUUACUCCCUAAAACCUUAUUGCACGCAAAUUUAUUUCAAACAGAAAUUGAAACUACUUGAUUGAAACGCAAAUUUAAACAAAAGUAUCACAAUUCAAUACAUUGCAAAACAUGAAUUUGAACUGCCCGGCUGUUUUUUUU